CAGAAAGUCCUUGUCUGGCUCACAGAAGGAAUUUGUCCUAGGUAACGUAUGCAUCUGGCACUGUCACUCACCCCUUCUACAGAGAGAAACUUCACUGUAAUCCUUACCAAGUUCAGUCAACGCCCUCAAAGAAAAGCCAAGGAAAUUGUGCCUCAGCUGGUGGGUGCCGUGUGUGAUUGGACUCUGUGGGUACUUCCGAUCCUCCAGCCCGAGUCUGCUUUCUCAGCGCUUCCAGCAGAGCCCAGGCCUGGGAGCAUUUGCCACACUUGAGGAUUCUCAGAGCAACCAGCAGUGUGGAGUGAGACAGCGCUACAUGCUGGGCAGGGGCCAGGUGCUCAGGACUGAAAGAUGAGAAGACAAAGUGGCUUUCUCCAAAGAACUCAGGGUCUGAGGAGUGCUGCAGAUAACGCGAGCAGGGCGACUGCAACAUGGCUAUUACUUGUAAAAAAAAAGGCACAUGUGAUCUUAGAGAUCUUGGGCUUCACCCAGAGUCACACCCUUCGCCGCUUCCCCUCUGUCCACGCCGGAGCCUUUCAACUGCCUCUCCUGUCUUGCUUUGCAGGAUGUCUCUUUGCUUGGCUUCAAGCUUGGUCUUUCCUUCUGCCUAGCAUCUUGUUUUCCGCUGAGUGGGAUUUCUUCUUUCCCUAACAUUCUGCUUCUCGUCAGGGCUCAGCCUUGGCCUUAUUUCUUGUCUCUGUGGUGAAAGGAAUGAGAACAAGAGAUCCAAUCAUGAAAAAUCCAUCCACUGAACAGGGCUUAGGUGCUGGCGAAAUGUCAGACGCUGGACGUGGAGAGGGCCGGUUAGCCACAGCAGCUGCCACAGCGGGACGCCCAGGGACUUUGGCGCUGCCUCUGCCUACCCAAGCAUCUGCUGGUCUAAAUCUUGAGGAAACCAUAACAUUGUGCUGCCGACCCUGUGCCUUCUCCAUCAGCCUCUUACUGAGGUUUGGAAGCCACAAUAAAAUGCAAAUCGGUGGAAGCUUGAAAUUCCCAGUGUUGCCACAAAUGGAGGAUUGCGGUGAUUGUUGAACACAAGUUGAAGAACUCAACUCUAUUGCAAAUAAAAAGACAUCAGCCACAGUGAACCCAGAUAGGGUUCACUUGGUUCACAACCAAGGAUGACAAAUCUGCCAGAGUGGGCACUGUGCCCUGGCCAGGCCCAGGCCAUACGAGGUCUGCAGGAUGAGAAGGGCCCAGCCGUGAGAAUCCCAGGAGAGGACACAGAAGGCAAGCCCGAUGCCACAGAUCCCGGCCAAACAGAGCGUCGCUUCCGUCAUAGGCGCAUCCUCACCGGCUGCCCUUGGGUCGCUCUGUAGCAGACCUGGGCUGUUCAACAUAAAGCGCCUGCAGCCUGGAGCAUUUUUCUGUUUGCUUGCAUCCUCGUGAUGAAGUCCAGCAUGCUCCGCUGUCCUGCGUAUUUCCUGAGAAUCGGCAGCUGCAUCAGACUCAGGAUUGGCCUGAGACUGACAGGAAAUUGAAAGACAACUGGUUCCUCCCCACAGGCAGCUUGAGAGGCACAGGCUAAGGGCAGAAGUUGGACAAGCCCAGGCCCCGGAAGGCCAGUCAGGAACCACAAACACCCGACUCAUCGCUGAGUCAUUUUCCUGAGAUGCACAGAGGAGCUGAGAGAGUUGAUCCACAAAGGCCACAAACCCCUAGAGCAUCGGAGAGCAAAUUUCAGUCUGCUGUGCUUUCAUUGCCUUCUCCAAUGAGCUGUGCAGGUGGCCUUGGGGGCUCGCCUGUGAUGUCCCUGGGGACAGGGAGCUCUGUUACUUCACCCCCCGCCCCAGGCACAUGCUUUGUCACCUCAAUGCACAGUCAUUCUUCGUCAAGAAUGUGGUAUGAAGGAAUCUCAGGACAACAUUGCAGCUGGUAUUGGCCAAGAGGAGUCUGAUGCAAGUUCAAGCUUAAGAGAUCGCUUGCCCUGUGUGCCUUUUGAAUUUCCAGGAGUCCCACUUAAAUUCUUCAGAACUGUCACCUUGCAGAGGAGUUUCGGCCCUCACUGCGGGGCGCAGGCGCCGUUCGUGGAUCAGUGCCAAGGUGUCAGGGGGUUUCGUCGCAGCCACAGGGGAAGUGACUGAGACACUCAGGUUGUGAAAUGUCCAGCGGAUGGCGAGAGGACUUUCUCCCGUGCUUCCACGUUUCCUCGAGGAAUGCAGACCACUGUUGAGAACAGGUGUUCAAGGUAAACGUAAACGGGAUAAACAUUGCCAAGUGAAUUCCUCACGGCUUCUAAAAGCUUUUUCAGUAACCUGAAAUCCUAAGUUAUGUUAUAUGCUAAAUUGAGUAAUAGUCAUUAGAUGUCUAGAUCAUUUCUAAGUAAGUUGCAACAUUAAGACUUUGGCUAUUAAGCCUAAGUUUAAAGACUGCACUUUGGUAAUUCUGCUUGUAUAUUGUGCAGAGGAAGCAAGGCUAAAUAGGUCGAGGCCCAUUUCCACACUUCCGAGCUACGCUGUGAGCCAAGACGGCGGCUCUUGCCUGUGGUUGUUGGAGGCUGAAGCGGAAGGAUGGCCUGAGCCCAGGAGGAGUCCAGGAAGGAGAAAACACUUUGCAUCAUGAGAAAGCAUGCAUUUCCCACCCUCUUUGCGGUAUCUCAGAUUGAACCGAGGGCCUUCACUGAACCACACCCUCAGCUCUCUUUAACAUCGAGGCAGUGUCUUGCUAAGUUGCCAAGGCAAGGCUCAAACUUUGUUUGGGGGGGGUGGGCACCAGAAUGGAACUCAGGACCUUGCACUUUCCAGGCAGGUGGCAGAACCACUGAGCUAAAUCCCUAGCCCCUAGGGCUCAAACUUUUAAUCCUCCUGCUUCAGCCUCCCAAGUGCUGGGAUCACAGGUGUGCGCCAUUGUGCCUAGCAGAAAAGCACAUGUCCCUAAGAAUUACUAGUUACCUAAAGGGCCUAGGGAUUGAUAACCAGAACUGCAAAGAGCAAGGGAAGCAACUCUGUAUGUGAGGAACAAGAGGCGUCUUUUAUACAGGAAGUUACAGAGUGUGAGAAGGUUUUGGGGCCAAAAGAAAGUAAAGUUUUUGUCCUUAAAGUGACUAUGAUUCCAAAGUAGGAAAGAGAGGUAGAAUACAGAACUGAGAGUUUGGAUGAACUGUGAAAGAUUUGAAGAAGUUGUAAAAGGGGCUUGGAAGGAAUGAAUAAAAAAUGUCAGGCAAACUAAAGAGGAUUCCCCCGAAUGCAGGGGUGGCAGGGAGCCUACACCUGAGUCCCCAGAAGGUGGCUUGAAGGGAAGUAUGGAACAGAGUGGGUCUCACUGCAGGUUCCAGGGGCACUGCUCUGUGACGAUCUAUGGGAAGCAGCAACCAGGCUGGUGACAAACGGGACUUUAACUGGGGACACCACACCGGAAGUGCCCAUGGUCCCCAAUUAAAUGAUGCUCUUGGGUGCCCCAUAGUCCAAGUACCUGGCAUGGACUCAAUGAGACCACAGCCGUCUGCCACGGGGGCUGUACAUGGGCAAUGCUGCAGGACAUUUGUCAGAGUCUCAUUUCCCUUUGCAACUGUGACCUAGAAGUAAUAUUUGGCUAUGACCACACAAUCUGGGAAAUUUGAAUUUCUCACAAGACUGGCCUUGUGUCUCUGGCUCCAUGACUAACAGUGUUUGGGACACGGGAAAGGAUGAUUUUUUGGGGAUGAAAUUCGUCAUUAUGUUGCUUUAUUUCCUGACUUCUAUAAUGAGGUUAACUUUAGUUUCCAGAGCUGGAUGGAACAUAAUACCAAGAGAGCAGAACAGCUAAAACUAUUAGCAAUGGAUAAGGGUCAGAAUGAUUUGCAUAUUGAAAACCGAUUUUUCAUAGAAUUAGGGCUAACAUCUCUUCGUGAGGUUACAGCCAUGGAGUCAAACUGGCCUGAAGAGAAGCGAGAACGGGGAGAUGUUGCUGAGUUACCCUGAAUACUCUAAACACCAAGGAAGUAUUUCAUGAUGUGCAGGCGACUGCUCGGUCGCGGUGGCUGCAGAAUUCUCUCCUGCUGCAUGCAGCCUGCAAAUGUCACAUGGCUCACAGAACAUGGAGGACUAGGAGCAUCAGGACUGGGCCAGGAUGGCCAGGGCCCAGGGCGCCUCCUGAGCGGGGAAGGACCUGUGCCUGUGCUGGGCCUCGGCCUGCAGUCCUGGAGCAGCUGGGCCCUCAUCCCUGUGCCCAGGGCGGUGCUGGCCGCAGUGGAGCCGCAGGCUGAGUUCCCUGCAGAGGCCCCUGGACCUGCAGGCCCGGCAGGCUGCUGGAUUGAGCAAGGUCUGGGUUUCAGGAGCCGGUUCUGUGGGGCUCUCGCGGUGCCUUUGACAGUUGUUUACUUUCAGUCUGCGCUGCUGUUGGGUUGAACGCUCGGAAUGGAUGGUGAAGGUCAGAAGGUCCUGAUCUCCCACCAACCCGAGAGCUGAGCCUCCUGUUACGAAGCCGUGGGUGGGGCCGCUGCCCGUCUGUCCUCCCAGUGCUCUGGGCGGCUGAGGUAGGAGGUCAAAAGUUUAGCAGUUUAGCCACUUUAGCAAGACCCUGUCCCUGCAACAGGAAAAGAACUGGGGAUGCAGCUCCAUGCAGAGGCUCUGGGUUGGGUCACCAGUACUGGGGAUGAUGAUGAUGAUGACAGAGAUAAAAGGGCACAUUUCAGAGAAAGGUAUUAUUCUCCCUCUUUGCAUCUUAAGUUCUCAUCCUUGAUCUUAGGAGGGAAACAUUCUAAACAGCCUGGUGCGAAUUUUCCUAGAUGUUAGUAAAUGUAAGUAUGUAC
rnacentral:lncRNA from 1 species